AUAAAAAAUGCAGAAAACCUAAAAAAUCAUUAUAAAUUGUAAUAAUAAUAUCCUUUUCGAAUUAGCUGCGCAAUUUCGCCCAUUUUUCCAUAGAAAGUGCAAUGGCUUUUAUCGCUCAAACUGAAAUUGGCCGAAAACAACACAAACACAAAAACAAACACAGAACGAAAGCGAGGCAAGUUCAGGGCCGAAUUCUAGGCAAAUAGAACGACCGCAGCAAUGUGGCAACUUUUAAUCAGCUGCGAGCGGCAAUUGGUAAGUAAUCAUGGCGAUUAACUACGAAACAUUUGACUAAUGAGUCACCAUUAUAAGCAUACCUUUUACCAAUUAAAAGGGCGCAAGGAAAUAUGCAUUUUGUGGUUAGUUGGAAGUGAAAUGAAAAGGUAAGUUUAUACAGUGAAAAAAACAUUCUAUAAUCAAAGAAACAAGCUGAAAUUAUAUUGACAUGAAACAUCCAGAAUAAAUUAUAGUAUGAAAGCAAGACUUCACUUCUAGAAUAAUUCUAUACUGCAGAUUCUUGAAAUUUAAGAAUAUGAUCUCAAUUUAGGAAUAUUGGAAACUCGAAAAUAUAUUUAUAAUUUCAACAUGGAAAAACGUCAAAUUUGAAUCAGAAAA